rnacentral:rRNA from 1 species
GGCAGCAGUGAGGAAUAUUGCACAAUGGGCGAAAGCCUGAUGCAGCAACGCCGCGUGGGUGAUGAAGGCCUUCGGGUCGUAAAGCCCUUUUCUGGGGGACGAGGAAGGACGGUACCUCAGGAAUAAGCCUCGGCUAACUACGUGCCAGCAGCCGCGGUAAAACGUAGGAGGCGAGCGUUAUUCGGAUUUACUGGGCGUAAAGCGCGUGCAGGCGGUUCUGUAAGUUGGAGGUUAAAUCUCUCGGCUCAACUGAGAGGCGUCCUUCAAAACUGCGGGACUUGAGGAUGGGAGAGGAAAGUGGAAUUCCCGGUGUAGUGGUGGAAUGCGUAGAGAUCGGGAGGAACACCAGUGGCGAAGGCGGCUUUCUGGCCCAUUUCUGACGCUAAGACGCGAAAGCGUGGGGAGCGAACGGGAUUAGAUACCCCGGUAGUCCACGCUGUAAACGAUGGAUACUAGGUGUUGGUGGUAUUGACCCCACCGGUGCCGUAGCUAACGCGUUAAGUAUCCCGCCUGGGGACUACGGCCGCAAGGCUAAAACUCAAGUGAAUUGACGG